AACGAACGCUGGCGGUAUGCCUAAUACAUGCAAGUCGAGCGAGAUCUUCGGAUCUAGUGGCGCACGGGUGCGUAACGCGUGGGAAUCUGCCCUUGGGUUCGGAAUAACAGUUAGAAAUGACUGCUAAUACCGGAUGAUGACGUAAGUCCAAAGAUUUAUCGCCCAAGGAUGAGCCCGCGUAGGAUUAGCUAGUUGGUGAGGUAAAGGCUCACCAAGGCUACGAUCCUUAGCUGGUCUGAGAGGAUGAUCAGCCACACUGGGACUGAGACACGGCCCAGACUCCUACGGGAGGCAGCAGUAGGGAAUAUUGGACAAUGGGCGAAAGCCUGAUCCAGCAAUGCCGCGUGAGCGAUGAAGGCCUUAGGGUUGUAAAGCUCUUUUACCCGGGAUGAUAAUGACAGUACCGGGAGAAUAAGCCCCGGCUAACUCCGUGCCAGCCGCCGCGGUAA
rnacentral:rRNA from 1 species